AGGCACGAAAGAAGUACAAAGCUCCACCACCAUCUUCAAAUCCAGCUAAAUCUAAUGGUGAAGUGGAACAAAGGAAAGCAAAAGGAGAAGAAGUGGAGUUAGUUGAAGAACAAAGAUCAUGAUGAAGAUGGAUGUCCCCUGUGAGUCUCGGGUCAAAUAUGUGCUUUUGACGCAUUUCUUUCUUACAGUUUUGAAAAUUUGUGUAAUGGGAUUGUUGAUACAGGACA